UACGAAGGGGGCUAGCGUUGCUCGGAAUCACUGGGCGUAAAGCGCACGUAGGCGGAUUGUUAAGUCAGGGGUGAAAUCCUGGAGCUCAACUCCAGAACUGCCUUUGAUACUGGAGAGCUAGAGUCCGGAAGAGGUGAGUGGAACUGCGAGUGUAGAGGUGAAAUUCGUAGAUAUUCGCAAGAACACCAGUGGCGAAGGCGGCUCACUGGUCCGGUACUGACGCUGAGGUGCGAAAGCGUGGGGAGCAAACAGG
rnacentral:rRNA from 1 species